CCGUCUCUUUAGCGGCUUGGUUUGCUUGGAUCAUACUCUCUGGCUUCUAAUGGAGGCGUUGAUGAUGUUGACUCUUGGUGGCACUCCAGUCGCUGGAAGAGCCCCUCUUCCUUGGGGAUCCAUGGGAACAAAGCAAGAUUCAAAAAACGCAGCGACACAGAUAACAUUAACCUUGAAAACUCACAAGUAUUUCACUGCUCCCCGAUAUCAGUAAGUUAACAAUUAAAGGGAAUUUUACUCGAAUUGAGAAUGGCAGUAAGAGGACCUAGAUAUAUGGCAGCAGGUAUAGUGCCGGCGUCGAUUGAGAAGGCGAUGAGUGCGACUCCGAGCCCGUCAGUGGCCAGGCAGUUCGGAUCCUCUGUCCCGAACAUUCUUUGUCCCCAUGUCCCACUGUCGAUCGAACGGUCCAGAUUAUAUCUCAAGGUAUCAUGAUAUCUUUAAGAUGUGUAAAGUAUCCUUAAGAUGUAAUCUGGAUCGUCCGAUCGAUAGUGGAAUAUGGGGACAGAGAAGAUUCGGAACAGAGGAUCCGAACUAGUGGCCAGGAGGGAGAAGCAGAUGUUUGCGUCGGUUUCUUCUCUCUCUUUCUAUCGGGAUGGGGAUUUGGGAAGUAGCCGUUGGUGGUGGAAUGAAUCAGCGUUCUCAUUGCUGCCCCUCUCUUUCCUCGUCAGCGGCGUCAGGGCGUGUCGACGGUCAAGUUAACCCCGCCGUCACGCACGGACGAAACACGGUGAAGAGAUAGACGGACGGCUGAGAUGGGCCUGUUAAUGAUCAAGUUAACCACGUCGUCACGCACGGAGGUGGACCCCAGACAGCGAAGCUUUUUUGGCAGGUAGGGACCGCUGCUUUCUUAUCUCGUUAUUGGUUGGGGCAUGGGUGGAAUUAUUGCUGGUAAUUUAUUGCACCAACCAACGUGGUUGUCUUCUCGCACGCUCCUUGUCAAUAAUUGGCGGAGGUGGAACCUGGCGAGUGCCAAUUUUCUAGCCCUAUUAACUAUUUUGAAAAAAUAAUCAAUACCAUAAGACGAGUUGUGUGAAUAGAAGUAUUGAUUUGAUGAACUUUGAUAAUAUUCCGACCCAUGCUGCUCAACCACAUCUCUCCACGGAUUCAAACCGGUAGAGAUUUUAUUUUUCUGCACUCGGACGGUUAUUGGAACCUUUGUCAACAUGCAUCACGCAGUCAGUGUGAUCCCUCGAACGAUCAAGUUAGCGUGAGACUGAGAAAAAGAAAAAUGGAAGAGCAUAAAUGAAAGGCUUGGGCUCUCGUAGAGAAAAGUUUGUCUUCAAUAAUCAUCACAUCAUCAUUAUCCGCUCUUUUAUACAGUUGAACCAUGUUUAUAAAA